GACGUAGGGCGCGAGCGUUGUCCGGAUUUAUUGGGCGUAAAGAGCUCGUAGGCGGCUUGUCGCGUCGUCCGUGAAAACCUGCAGCUUAACUGUGGGCGUGCGGUCGAUACGGGCAUGACUGGAGUUCGGCAGGGGAGACUGGAAUUCCUGGUGUAGCGGUGAAAUGCGCAGAUAUCAGGAGGAACACCGGUGGCGAAGGCGGGUCUCUGGGCCGAUACUGACGCUGAGGAGCGAAAGCGUGGGGAGCGAACAGG
rnacentral:rRNA from 1 species